ACAAAGAGACAAUAACAGGCUGUUUUGUAUCUUGCUUGAAUAGCAAGCCUCGAGCCUUGGUGAAGAAACAAACUCAGAAGCAAAAACAGAAAAUGAAACUAGCUAGUGAAUAACAGAAAAGAGAGAAGAAGAUUGAAUGAAAAAUGAGCUGAUAUUUUUCAUUAACACACCAACAAGGCAUUAAGCCAUUACAUAUUUCAGUCAACAAGUAAAACAAACAAGUAAUCACCUAAUCAACUACCUAACUCCACUAAUUUGCAUUGAAACUUACAAGAUUAGCUUGUACAACUUGCAUUGCUGAUUUUUCAGUCAAUCAAUAUCAAAACAUUUACCUACUUAGUUCAACAUGAACUAGAUUACAAAACAAUCAAAAUGGAACUAAAAACAACAAGUGGAUUGGCAGCUUCAAACUUCAGUUGCUGCACACCAUGGCACCACUGCUUGCUGCUAUUUCUUGGAGCAUGACCACCUUUGCAUGUCGUGCAUGGCCACCUUUGCAUGGGAACUAAACUUAACACUCCUCCUUAGUUUCCAUGCUAGUAACACCUAAUUCCCUUUUGAAUUUAACAAAUUUAGACACAUUGAGUGCCUUUGUGAAGAUAUCAGCAAUUUGCACUUCUGAAUUGCAAUGAAUCAGCUCGAUUUCAUGAGCUUGUUCCAUCUCCCUUAUAACAUGCAACUUAAUAUUGAAGUGCUUGGUUUUGCCAUGAAAAAUGGGAUUUUUUGCAAUUGCAACAGCAGAUUUGUUGUCACAAUAAAUCUCUGUUGCCUCCUUUUGGUUUUGGUUUAAAUCAGCCAAGAUUUUUCUAAGCCAUAUGGCUUGAUUCACAGCAGAUGCAGCAGCAACAUAUUCAGCUUCUGCUGUUGAUUGUGCCACCUGACUUUGUUUCUUAGAGCUCCAGCAAAACAUGCCUGAGCCAAGACUAAAUGCAUAUCCGGAUGUGCUCCUCAUGUCAUCACUCGAUCCAGCCCAGUCACUAUCAACAUAGCCUAUCAGCUUCAUGUUUUCAGCCCUUUUGAACAAUACACCAUGAUCAAUGGUGCCUUUGAUGUAUCUUAGCACUCUUUUAGCUGCUUGAAAGUGCUGAUCAUUGCAGCAAUUCAUGUAUCUCGAUAGCAUACUAACAGUAAACAUGAUAUCGGGUCUUGUUGCAGUCAAAUACAACAGACUACCAAUGAAACUCUUGUACAUAGUCUCGCAAAUUGGUUCACCACUCCCUUGCCUCGAAAGCUUCACUCCAACAGCCAUUGGUGUGCUUGUUGGCUUGCAGUUCUUCAUAGAGAACUUAUCCAGGAUCUUCAUAGUAAAAGAACUCUGACUAAGAAAGAUUCCCUUUUCUGUUUGCUUCACUUCCAUUCCAAAGAAGUAGUUCAUUCUGCCUAAAUCAGACAUUUCAAACAUUUCCAUCAUUUUUCUUUUGAAAUCUUCCAGAAUUCUUCUAUCUCCUCCAGUUACUAAUAAAUCAUCAACAUAGAGUGACAGGAUAAGCUGAGUUUCAGCUUGGUUCUUCUUCACAUACAGUGUUGGUUCACUGGGACUUCUCUCAAAUUCCAAACUGAGCAAGUAAGAGUCAAUUCGAGCAUACCAGGUUCGAGGAGCCUGUUUCAGGCCAUAUAAAGCCUUUUUCAGUCUGUACACCAUGUGUUCUUUGCCAGUGAUCACAAAUCCUUGAGGCUGCUCGAUGUAGAUCUCUUCUUCCAGGAAACCAUUGAGAAAUGCAGACUUAACAUCAAGCUGAUGAAUGGUCCACUGAUGUUGAGCAGCCAAGGCAACUAUCAUUCUAACUGUGUCAAGCCUGGCUACUGGUGCAAAUGUCUCCAAGUAGUCCAGACCAUACCUUUGGCUAAAUCCUUUGACAACAAGCCUAGCUUUUAGCUUGUUCAGACUGCCAUCUGCAUUCUGUUUUACUCGAUAGACCCAUUUUACUCCAAUGGUCUUCUUUCCAGCAGGUUUAUCAACUAGCUCCCAUGUCUGGUUCUUCUCAAUCAUGUUGAUUUCAUUGACCAUAGCUAGUUUCCAGCCUUCAUCUGCCUCAGCCUCUUCAAAACUGCUAGGUUCAGCUAUUGCAACCUGUGCCCUUUCAUAAAUAUCAUCUAGGGGCCUUGUGCCUCUCACAGGCACAUCAUCAACAUCCAUUUCAGGUCCUAGCUGCUCAAGUUCAGCUUGAUUAGGCACUAGGUCUUCUGAAACUGCUUCUGGCUCAUUUUUCUCCCAAUUCCAGCAGGCUUUUUCAUCAAAGAUGACAUCUCUACUCACCUGGACUUUGUUUGUCAAGGGAUCCAGAACCCUGUAGCCCUUCUUGACUGAGCUGUAGCCUACUAGAACACCUGGUUGAGCCCUUUUAGAGAGCUUGUCUCUCUUUGCUGCUGGUAUUUGUGCAUAACACAGGCAACCAAACACCUUCAGAUGUGCCAAGGAAGGCUUGAAACUGAACCAAGCCUCGAAAGGUGUCUCGGAUGCAAGAGCUUUGGUAGGAAGCCUGUUCUGAAGGUAAACAGCAGUGUUUACUGCCUCAGCCCACAUGGUCUUGGGCAAUUUCUUUUCAAACAGGAGACAUCUGGCCAUAUCCAUCAGGCUUCUGUUCUUUCUUUCAGCUACCCCAUUCUGCUGAGGUGUGUAGACAUUUGUAAGCUGAUGUUUGAUACCAGCAUCAUUGCAAAUGGCUUGAAACUGAGCUGAAGUGUACUCAGUGCCAUUGUCUGUCCUUACCGAUUUCAGCUUGCAACCUGUUUCUGUCUCUACAGCAGUUUUGAACUUCACAAACACUUGAGUUACCUCAGACUUGUGUUUUAAGAAGAAAAUCCAGCAAAACCUUGUAAGAUCAUCAAUGAAGAGGAUGAAAUACCUGUUUUUGCUGAGUGAUUCAGUCCUCAUCGGGCCACAUACAUCAGAGUGCACCAGCUGCAGUCUUUCAGUAGCUCUCCAAGCUGAAUUUGUAGGAAAUGGCAGUCUUGCCUGUUUCCCCAUCUGGAAAACUUCACACACAUCAUCAUGCUCCACUGAGCUGGUGAAGUUCUCUGCCAAGCCCUCUUUGGCCAUUCGAGCCAUUGAUCUGAAGUUGGCAUGUCCAAGCCUUUGAUGCCAAAGCUUGGAGUCAUCAACAGAGGCUGUGUAUGCUGAGUUUGAGUCAUUUGCCCAGUGAACCUCAAAGCAUUUAUCAGUCAUUGUGACUGUCAUAAGGCUUGAUCCACUUGGAUCAGUAAUGUGGCAUUGUUUGUCCUUGAACACAACAGAAUAACCUUUCUCGAGCAGUUGAGCUAUGCUGAGAAGGUUUCUGUCAAUCUCUAGCACCAACAGCACAUUUGGAAUGAUCUUGUUGCCUGUGGGAGUACAUACCAGCACUUCUCCUCUUCCUUCAGCCCUUAUAAACUGACCAUUUCCAACCUUGACCUUGGUUUUAUAACUUCUGUCCAAGGUUUUAAACAAGGAGGCAUCUGGUGACAUGUGGUUAGUGCAACCACUGUCCAACAACCAGCCUUUUGAGCAUUUCUUCUCAGCAGCUAAGCAGGAAACAACAAAGACCUGUUCUUCUUGGUCACUACUGUCCUCAGCUACUCGAGCUUCAACCUUUGACUGCUGAAAUUGAUUCUGCCUUGGCUUACUCCUGUUUUUACAGACCCUUUCAACAUGGCCCUUCUUCUUGCAGUGUUGGCAUACUGCAUCUGGCCUAAACCAGCAUCUGUCUUCUGGAUGACCUGGCCUCUUGCAAUGUCUGCAGGGCUGGUCAUUACUCCUUGCAGUAUCAGGCUUAGGCCUAUUUUUCCAAGGCCUUUUGCCUCUUGGAGCAUUGAAGCUCGAGGCUUCUUUGGCCUUGGCAUUGAAUGCACCUUCCUGGUGAUCUUCAGCUCUGCUAGCUCUCCUUUGUUCCUGAGCAUAGAAAGUGUUGAUUAGCUUAGUCAAAGAGAUGGUAGCAAGGUCUCUUGAGUCCUCUAAGGAGGAUAUCUUGGCCUCAUAUCUCUCAGGAAAAGUGGAGAGGACCUUUUCCACAAUUCUUGCCUCAUCAAAGUGCUCACCAAGGAGCCUUAUACUGUUAACCACUGCUAUGAUUCUGUCUGCAUACUGCUUCACUGUUUCUUCUUCCUUCAUCUUCAGAUUCUCGAAAUCCCUUCUCAAAUUUAAUAGCUGCUGUUGCCUUGUUCUCUCAGUGCCUUGAAACUCCUCCUUAAGCUUAUCCCAGGCCUGUUUUGGAGUCUCACAGGCCAUAAUUCUGGUGAAGAUGACAUCUGAUACACAGUUCUGGAUGCAGGACAUGGCUUUAUGCCUUUUGGUCCUCUCAUCAGCAUGCUGCCUUAUCUGAGCUACUGUGGGAUUAGCCCUCAGUGGUGCUGGCUCAGCAUCUGUGUUAACAACUUUCCACAGAUCAAAGGCCUGCAGGUAAGUCUUCAUAUUGACCAGCCAUAAGUGGAAGCCAUCUCCAUUGAAGACUGGUGGGGCUGCUGGUGAAAAACUUGAGGAAGACAUUCAGCUUUCUUAGUUUAAUACAACAGGUCCACUGAGAAUGAAGCUCUAGAUACCAAUUGUUGGAACAAAGAGACAAUAACAGGCUGUUUUGUAUCUUGCUUGAAUAGCAAGCCUCGAGCCUUGGUGAAGAAACAAACUCAGAAGCAAAAACAGAAAAUGAAACUAGCUAGUGAAUAACAGAAAAGAGAGAAGAAGAUUGAAUGAAAAAUAAGCUGAUAUUUUUCAUUAACACACCAACAAGGCAUUAAGCCAUUACAUAUUUCAGUCAACAAGUAAAACAAACAAGUAAUCACCUAAUCAACUACCUAACUCCACUAAUUUGCAUUGAAACUUACAAGAUUAGCUUGUACAACUUGCAUUGCUGA
rnacentral:lncRNA from 1 species